CAAGAAAGGUGCGUAUUGCACUUGUCAGGGUACACAACAGUAGAGGUGGGGUUCUGUAAGUGCAGCAGUUAGACUGUGAUUGAGGUGCCCACAUGGAUUCAUUAAGAUGGGGAGUUCAUGUCCUACGGAGAUUAGAUUGUUGGAGUGGGGAGCAUGCAGAUAAAAUUUGGAGAAGUGAGAAGGCUACAAGCAUGACUAGUUUUUAAAUCUAUUUUACAUGAGUAUUAACAGCUAAAUAUGAAUAGUGAUUAUAUUUGCAGUGUGUAUUUCCACUCCUAUAUGAACACAUUGUUGCAAAAACAAAGAAAC